rnacentral:rRNA from 1 species
CCUACUGCUAUCGGGGUGGGACUAAAACAUGCAAGUCGAGCGUCUCCAAGCCAUGGUGGAGGCGCGGCGUACGGCUCAGUAACACGUGGCUAACCUGCCCUUGGGACGGGAACACCCCCGGGAAACUGGGGUUAAUUCCCGAUAGGUGAGGAGACCUGGAAUGGUUCUUCGCUGAAAAGGCGUUAGAGGCAUGCUCUCUAAUGUUGCCUAAGGAUGGGGCCGCGGCCGAUCAGGUUGUUGGUGAGGUAACGGCUCACCAAGCCUAUAACCGGUACGGGCCGCGGGAGCGGUAGCCCGGAGAUGGACACUGAGACAAGGGUCCAGGCCCUACGGGGCGCAGCAGUUACGAAACCUCACCAAUGCACGAAAGUGUGAGUGGGUUAUCCCGAGUGCCGUCCGCUGAGGAUGGCUUUUCUCCAGUGUAAGGAGCUGGAGGAAUAAGGAGAGGGCAAGCCUGGUGUCAGCCGCCGCGGUAAUACCAGCUCUCCGAGUGGUGGGGAUUCUUAUUGGGCCUAAAGCAUUCGUAGCCGGUUGGGCAAGUCCUCCGUUAAAUUCAGCGAUUCAAUCGUUGGGCUGCGGGGGAUACUGUCCGGCUAGGAGACGGAAGAGGCCGACGGUAUUCUCGGGGUAGGGGUGAAAUCCUAUAAUCCCGGGAGGACCACCAGUGGCGAAGGCUGUCGGCUAGAACGCGCUCGACGGUGAGGGACGAAAGCUGGGGGAGCGAACCGGAUUAGAUACCCGGGUAGUCCCAGCUGUAAACGAUGCGGGCUAGGUGUUGGGGUGGCUACGAGCCACUUCAGUGCCGCAGCGAAGGCAUUAAGCCCGCCGCCUGGGGAGUACGGCCGCAAGGCUGAAACUUAA